rnacentral:rRNA from 1 species
AGUGAACGCUGGCGGUAGGCCUAACACAUGCAAGUCGAACGGCAGCACAGUAAGAGCUUGCUCUUACGGGUGGCGAGUGGCGGACGGGUGAGGAAUACAUCGGAAUCUACUUUUUCGUGGGGGAUAACGUAGGGAAACUUACUCUAAUACCGCAUACGACCUACGGGUGAAAGUAGGGGAUCUUCGGACCUUGCGCGAUUGAAUGAGCCGAUGUCGGAUUAGCUAGUUGGCGGGGUAAAGGCCCACCAAGGCGACGAUCCGUAGCUGGUCUGAGAGGAUGAUCAGCCACACUGGAACUGAGACACGGUCCAGACUCCUAAGGGAGGCAGCAGUGGGGAAUAUUGGACAAUGGGCGCAAGCCUGAUCCAGCCAUACCGCGUGGGUGAAGAAGGCCUUCGGGUUGUAAAGCCCUUUUGUUGGGAAAGAAAAGCAGCAGGUUAAUACCCCGCUGUUCUGACGGUACCCAAAGAAUAAGCACCGGCUAACUUCGUG